UGAGCAGGGAAGCGAUCGCAGUCCAGAGCUUCAGGCCAGGAGUGGCCGUGACAGGCCAGAACAGGAGCACAGCUGUCCCUCACAGCCACACACAGGCUUCGGCAGGGCUGGAUGAACCUACACACAAGAUAAAGACAGGAGCGACGAGGGAGCAGAGGAAGGCCUGGGCCUGAGGAUGGCAGCCUGUCUGCAGCAAAGUGCGCCAGUUCUCUGAGUGAGGGAUCACCUCGUCCUCCAGGCUGCUGUGGCCCAAGAGGUUGGGCAGUCUCAUCUCAGAGUACCCCACGUCGUGGCACACACUCAGCUGGUGAGGUAUAGGCACACAGCGAGUGGACUGGCCCAGGUCAAAGGCCUCAAUCUGAGCAAAGAGGGUCAAAGCAAGCAGGGUGAAGAUGAGAGCCAUAGUUCCAGAGAAAGUGGUGGUCCUGUGAGAAGGGAUCGUCCAAAGCUGUGAAGGUGAAGGUGCUGGAAUGGUUGUGAGUGAGUGAGAUCCACUGGCUUAUAUACAGGUAGGGCAGAGCCAGCCAGGGCUGUUAUCAACGACCUAUCAAAGAGGUGCAGACGACGCGUCAAGCAGGGGAUAACUACACGCAGACGCAGGGGGACUGAAAGGGAGGGGGGCAUUAAAUAAACAAUCAAAGGCUCAGAAUGCUCCAGCCCAUUAAAUGAUGCACACCGUCUGCAGAUGUCUGUACAUUCACUUUAAUGGUGUGUGUGGGCCUUGUUAAAAUCAAAAAGCACACAUCACUGUACUGAAUACAACAGACAUUCUUCAGACAUAGUUCAUUAAAGCAAAAUGAGGAGUGCUGAGAUUUGUACACGUAUCGCAGAUCAGUUAAGACACAACACAGUGAAUUAUAUAGCUUAUUAUGAGUAGACCAAGAGAAAUGCUCCAAAAAGUUACCUGAUUUUUUUUUUUUACAUUGAAUAUUAACCAGGUUUUUCCUUCUCCUGUAAAGAUGACAUUUUGGAGAUGACAAUUGUUUUUGUGUGACAGCAACAAUUAUAAUAGUACUAUACAAAAACUAACUUCAUAAAAAUGUUACCUUCUCAGAAUUUUAGCAUAAAUUUAAAGGUAAUUUAAAAUAUAUUUUGGACCGUUUGCUUUGGCAUUUAUGAUGAAAUUUAUCAACAAUUUGUAAUAUUUGUAAUUGUAAUAAAAUACAAGAUUUUGGUCCGGCUGCAAUAAUAUUAAUGAUUAAGUUGGGGAUUACAAUGUUUUUUGGGGAUGAAUCUGAAAUGAAGACACUAAUUAAACCUUACAUUUUUAUUACGUUUUUUUGCUGCUUGUCAUGUAUACAGUUCUUAUUUUCACCAGAGGCAGAUUACAUUUGCCAUAUAUCAUUUAUUUUACUCCAGACUUUGCUAUACAAAUAUUAUUGAUUAUAUAACAUGACUUUGGGAGAACUGUGAUCAAACGUUCUUUAUAUUUUAUUCUUUAUUUAUUUUAUUUAUAGAUAUUAUGGAAAAAUAAAAAUAAAUAAAAAUGUUAGUUUUUUUUCCAAUAUCAUGCAGCCCUAGAACACAUAAUGGUAACCAUGUAAAAACACAGACAUUUGACUAGUAAACAACUCAUAAUGAGUCUGUUUUAAAUGACCAGAGUAAACUAGAAUGUUCCCCUUCUCUUGUUAAUUAUUAUAAAUUAUUUUUUGACUUUGUACAGCACUGUGCCAUGCAAGGUUUUAUUAGCUAGGUCUCCUCCAGUAUCUCAGGUGUAAAACUAAGAGUCUUGUCUUGCUGGGAGGGGGCUAGUGGACAGACAGGCAGUCUCCUAACUGAUGACAGUUCCCCUGUCUGCCAUGUUAAUUUAAGCUUUCCCGACCCCAGAGACUAGGCCGUGCAGCCUGUCUCCCGUUAGCGCAGCCUUGUCUGCAGUCUACCUGACCACUAGCCCACCUUUGAUCUGCCAAAACAGGGAGCCAUUCAUAUUCAAAUGUUACGCCACUUAGCUACCAUGCCCUCGCUAAUCCUUACAAAUUAGCCUACUGUCUACAUGACAUGCUUGGCUUUCAUUGUGCAGAGCAAUGGAUUAUCCCACAUUAGCUGACACACAGGCAUUUUUCUGCAGUACUGCUGGAGUCUUCACUCUUUACAAUGCGUUUCAUCUGAAUUUACUCCCAUUUAAUGUGUCUGUUCAUAAAAUCUGUUCAUACACUUACUGAAGAAACUAGGGCCAUUUGGGCACACCAUAAAAAUAACUUCUAUAAAGUAAAAACAACAAAAAUAUGACAAAAUAUUACCUUAAAUUUAAACCACAAGUUCUAUCUAAUGUAAUGUAUUUUAAAUUUUAAGUUUAAAUAACAAAUUGCAAUUCUUCUUAAACAUUUUUUGGGACUUUUUAUUUUUUCCCCCCUUUUCUGCCAUUUUGGAGAUUUACAUACAUACAUAUAUGGUAUGUAUCUACAGUAUAUGUAACAAAAAGAUUAAAUUAAAGUAGAGAUACCCCAUGUUAAAUCCUUUUUUAAACUUGCACUUUUGUAAUAGUUUGUAAAAAAAAUUGCUUCCAAUUGAAAUUAAAUGUGCCAUGGUUUAUUUUGGCUUUAAUUACCUAUUAUUUUUUUUACUAUAUAAAAAAACAUAAAAAACAGUUAUUCUGACACUGAGGUCUAUUAAAAAUGUCCAAUUAGGUAAAUAGGUAAGUUUCAGUUUAAGAUUUAUUUAAAACACUAAAACCCUACUAUAAGCGCAGGUUUACAAAUGCGUUUUUCUUUACUAUGUAGCAUCUGUAUAUAUUCCUUAUAUUCCCUCAUUUAUGCAGAUGUAGGAUGAACAUUUGCAGGCUGUAUGCUUGUGCUGGGUAGCUACUGUAUUUCCAACAGCUUUAAAUAAAUUUGACAAACAAUGAAAAUGAACACUGUA